rnacentral:rRNA from 1 species
UCCCAUAAACCGUGGCUCAGUUCAGAUCGUAGGCUGCAACUCGCCUACGUGAAGCAGGAAUCGCUAGUAAUCGCAGGUCAGCAUACUGCGGUGAAUACGUUCCCGGGCCUUGUACACACCGCCCGUCACACCAUGGAAGUUGGCCACGCCCGAAGUCGUUACUCCAACCCUUGUGGAGGAGGACGCCGAAGGUGGGGCUGAUGACUGGGGUGAAGUCGUAACAAGGUAGCCGUACCGGAAGGUGCGGCUGGAUCACCUCCUAA